GACGUAGGGCGCGAGCGUUGUCCGGAUUUAUUGGGCGUAAAGAGCUCGUAGGCGGCUUGUCGCGUCGACUGUGAAAACCCGCGGCUCAACUGCGGGCUUGCAGCCGAUACGGGCAGGCUAGAGUUCGGUAGGGGAGACUGGAAUUCCUGGUGUAGCGGUGAAAUGCGCAGAUAUCAGGAGGAACACCGGUGGCGAAGGCGG
rnacentral:rRNA from 1 species